UACGUAGGGUGCAAGCGUUGUCCGGAAUUAUUGGGCGUAAAGAGCUCGUAGGCGGUCUGUUGCGUCGGCUGUGAAAACCCGGGGCUCAACCCCGGGCCUGCAGCCGAUACGGGCAGACUAGAGUUCGGCAGGGGAGACUGGAAUUCCUGGUGUAGCGGUGGAAUGCGCAGAUAUCAGGAGGAACACCAAUAGCGAAGGCAGCUCGCUGGGACGUUACUGACACUAAGGCGCGAAAGCGUGGGGAGCGAACAGG
rnacentral:rRNA from 1 species